rnacentral:tRNA from 1 species
GCCUCGGUAGCUCAGCCUGGUAGAGCGACAGCCUCGUAAGCUGUAGGUCCCGGGAUCAAAGCCCGGCCGAGGCU